rnacentral:rRNA from 1 species
CCUACGGGAGGCAGCAGUGAGGAAUAUUGGUCAAUGGCCGAGAGGCUGAACCAGCCAAGUCGCGUGAGGGAAGACGGCCCUACGGGUUGUAAACCUCUUUUGUCGGGGAGCAAAGAGAGUCACGUGUGACUCAUUGAGAGUACCCGAAGAAAAAGCAUCGGCUAACUCCGUGCCAGCAGCCGCGGUAAUACGGAGGAUGCGAGCGUUAUCCGGAUUUAUUGGGUUUAAAGGGUGCGCAGGCGGAGGUGCAAGUCAGCGGUCAAAUUGCGGGGCUCAACCCCGUACUGCCGUUGAAACUGCAGCCCUUGAGUGCGCGAGAAGUAUGCGGAAGGCGGGGUGUAGCGGUGAAAUGAAUAGAUAUCACGCAGAACUCCGAUUGCGAAGGCAGCAUACCGGCGCGCAACUGACGCUCAUGCACGAAAGCGUGGGUAUCGAACAGGAUUAGAUACCCGAGUAGUC